AUGGAAAGCUUGCUGCAUUGGGACUUUGCUCCGGGCCUAGCCCUUGCAGAUCAGGUGAGAAGAAAGUUUGGGUCUACAGUCCAUUUCUCCCCUUCUAGAGACACCAAAGAGUUCUUCUUGGUUGUUUCUUUCUCCUCGGCUUCGUUUCCUCUCUCGGUGAAAGUUGUGGGUAUUGCUUUGCAAUGCUGUCUUGGU
rnacentral:rRNA from 1 species